rnacentral:rRNA from 1 species
AUUGAACGCUGGCGGCAUGCUUUACACAUGCAAGUCGAACGGUAACAGGCCUUCGGUUGCUGACGAGUGUCGGACGGGUGAGUAAUGCAUCGGAACGUGCCCAGAGGUGGGGGGUAACGCAGCGAAAGCUGUGCUAAUACCUCAUGUGAUCUGAGGUUGAAAGCGGGGGACCAGGCAGCAAUGUUUGGCCUCGCGCCUUUGUAGCGGCCGAUGUCAGAUUAGGUAGUUGGUGGGGUAAAGGCCUACCAAGCCGACGAUCUGUAGCUGGUCUGAGAGGACGACCAGCCACACUGGGACUGAGACACGGCCCAGACUCCUACGGGAGGCAGCAGUGGGGAAUUUUGGACAAUGGGCGCAAGCCUGAUCCAGCAAUGCCGCGUGCGGGAAGAAGGCCUUCGGGUUGUAAACCGCUUUUGUACGGAACGAAAAGGCUCUGGCUAAUACAUGGGGCUGAUGACGGUACCGUAAGAAUAAGCACCGGCUAACUACGUG